GACGUAGGGUGCGAGCGUUGUCCGGAUUUAUUGGGCGUAAAGAGCUCGUAGGCGGCUUGUCACGUCGGGUGUGAAAGCCCGGGGCUUAACCCCGGGUCUGCAUUCGAUACGGGCUAGCUAGAGUGUGGUAGGGGAGAUCGGAAUUCCUGGUGUAGCGGUGAAAUGCGCAGAUAUCAGGAGGAACACCGGUGGCGAAGGCGGCAUCCUGGACCAACACUGACGCUGAGUGAGCGAAAGCCAGGGGAGCAAACGGG
rnacentral:rRNA from 1 species